GAGUUUGAUUAUGGCUCAGAUUGAACGCUGGCGGCAUGCUUUACACAUGCAAGUCGGACGGCAGCACAGAGAAGCUUGCUUCUUGGGUGGCGAGUGGCGAACGGGUGAGUAACGCAUCGGAACGUACCGAGUAGUGGGGGAUAACUGUCCGAAAGGAUGGCUAAUACCGCAUACGCUUUGAGAAGGAAAGCGGGGGAUCUUCGGACCUCGCGCUAUUCGAGCGGCCGAUGUCUGAUUAGCUAGUUGGUGGGGUAAAGGCCUACCAAGGCGACGAUCAGUAGCGGGUCUGAGAGGAUGAUCCGCCACACUGGGACUGAGACACGGCCCAGACUCCUACGGGAGGCAGCAGUGGGGAAUUUUGGACAAUGGGCGCAAGCCUGAUCCAGCCAUGCCGCGUGUCUGAAGAAGGCCUUCGGGUUGUAAAGGACUUUUGUCAGGGAAGAAAAGCUUUGGGUUAAUACCCUGGAGUGA
rnacentral:rRNA from 1 species